ACACUUGGAUCAAUGGAAGUAAAAGUCGUAACAAGGUCUCCGUUGGUGAACCAGCGGAGGGAUCAUUACUGAGUUACCGCUCUACAACCCUUUGUGUACAUACCUAACUGUUGCUUUGGCGGGCCGAGGUCCUCUCGCGGAACCCGCCCCCCCUCCCCGGGGGGUGGCCAGCGCCCGCCAGAGGACCAUCAAACUCCAGUCAUUAAACGAUGCGGUCUGAAAAACAUUUAAUAAACUAAAACUUUCAACAACGGAUCUCUUGGUUCUGGCAUCGAUGAAGAACGCAGCGAAAUGCGAUAAGUAAUGUGAAUUGCAGAAUUCAGUGAAUCAUCGAAUCUUUGAACGCACAUUGCGCCCUUUGGUAUUCUGAAGGGCAUGCCUGUUCGAGCGUCAUUACAACCCUCAAGCUCUGCUUGGUAUUGGGCACCCUCCUUUGCGGGCGCGCCUCAAAGACCUCGGCGGUGGCGUCUUGCCUCAAGCGUAGUAGAACAUACAUCUCGCUUCGGAGCGCAGGGCGUCGCCCGCCGGACGAACCUUCCUGAACUUUUCUCAAGGUUGACCUCGGAUCAGGUAGGGAUACCCCGCUGAACUUA
rnacentral:rRNA from 1 species